GACGAACGCUGGCGGCGUGCUUAACACAUGCAAGUCGAACGGAAAGGCCCUGCUUUUGUGGGGUGCUCGAGUGGCGAACGGGUGAGUAACACGUGAGUAACCUGCCCUUGACUUUGGGAUAACUUCAGGAAACUGGGGCUAAUACCGGAUAGGAGCUCCUGCUGCAUGGUGGGGGUUGGAAAGUUUCGGCGGUUGGGGAUGGACUCGCGGCUUAUCAGCUUGUUGGUGGGGUAGUGGCUUACCAAGGCUUUGACGGGUAGCCGGCCUGAGAGGGUGACCGGCAAGAUUGGGCGGGAAAGCGGGCCGGGACUCGUGGGGGGGGAAGAGGUGGGGAUUAUUGCAAAGUGGGGGGAGGUGUGAUGCAGCACCGCCGUGGGGGGAAGAAGGGCUUGGGGUUUUAAACCCGUUUCCCCCGGGGAGGAAGCGGGAGGGAGGGUAAGGUGUAAAGAACCACCGGCUAACUACGUG
rnacentral:rRNA from 1 species